AUAACAAAGUGUACAUAUGGCACAUUAAGAGAGAAAUGCCAAUAGCUGUUCUUCUUGGUCAUACACGCACUGUAAACUGUGUUUCUUGGAAUCCCACCUACCCCAGCAUGCUAGCUAGUGCCUCUGAUGAUGGAACAGUGAGAAUCUGGGGUCCAGCUGAAAGGUACCGUUCAAACAAAGGACAAUCCAUAAGUAUAUCAAACACAAAUGUAUAGCCUAACGCAUGUGUAGGAACCUGUAUUUAUAAACCAUUGGUGACAGAUAUCCUUCUGUAAAGGCCUAUAUCCACCAGUGAAUUAUCCACAGUGUGUCUUUAAAAAUGGAAAUAUUAACAGAAUAAAAGGACCACUUCUUAAAUAAAAAAGUGUUGUUGUAACAACCCAUCUCUGAUUAACCUAUAGGUCUACAUUUAGAACACGACACACAUAAUUACUGCGACGUGUUUGUUGAGAUCUUUCAACUUUGCAAAGUUAUUGUGCCUAUGUUAAGAAGAAUAUUUCCGAACAUGUUUGCUGUAAUAGUCAGAGUUUGGUAGUAUGCUGGUGUGGAGUGAUGUGCAAAAUAUUUUAUACCUACUAAAAAAAAAAAAAUUUCUUUUUUUUCUUUAGCUUUUUUCAUGUUAUUAUAUUAUGGUUUGUAAACGUUAUUGGCAGUUAUAAGUUUGAUGUAUAUAAAAAUUCAUAUUAUUUACAAAUGAUAUUUAGAUGUUGUUUGAUACCUUGUCUUUGGAACAUUGUGUCCAAACUAUAACCGGUAGUGAGUGUUGUAAAGCAAUGGUUUUUAGAAAAGUUGUUCUUAAGGAUAGCUUUUAUUCUAAAAUUUCCCUUCCUUCUAGCGUUACUUUUAGCAAACAUUAAUUUUUACUUUUCUUUAAAAAGUUGAUACUUAUUUAUUGUACAGGGUGGUCAUAAUUAACUCUUUGCAGGAAAGUAUAGUCCAUUCUGAUCGAUGUAUUUUGAUGAUACUGGAUGUGCAUGUUAUCGGGACAGUAAGAAAAAGAAAUUAAAUAAAUUUCUAUUCAAAUUUUGACUUAACGGUGUAAAAAAAAAAAGCUUAGAUGAGUGUAAAAUACAAAUUAGAGAUUCAAUGCUUUAUUUAAUUAUACCGCGUCAAUAGGUAUUCCAUUUUCAUCAAAUGCGUGUUCAAAAAGCAUAUUGGGAAGUUCAGCCAUAUCUCAAAAUGGUUUAUUGUAGCAACAUGAUCUAUAGCUUCAUUUGAAAGCCACUACUGUCUUCUUUCUCUGCGAUCUCGUCAAAUUUAGCAAUUGCCAUUUUCAGUGCUUUCUUGGCAUGGUUCAGAAGGCAGUACUACUGGCUUUUUUUUAAACCACUUUAAAUUACAUUAGCAUCCUUUCUACUUCCUGAAAAGUGCUAUCUAUCAGUCGAACAGAUUUCUUUUUCCUAUAGUCCAUGUGAUGCUGAUGCAAAAUUUCAUCAACUUCUACCCACCACAAUGGACUUUGUGUUGGUUUAUAUGUGUUAACUUAAAUUAUAUCCACCCUGUAUUCAUUGAUACUAAUUUUCAAAACAAUUACUAAUUGUUUUUAUCAGUUGUUUCCCUUUCUAAAAAUAUAAUGUCCUAAUGGUUUUACUGUUUAUCAAACUAACUUUUGUAAUUCUUUGUUGUUUCUGUUGAUUAUAAUAGAGGUUUAUGUUUACAUUCAUUUGUUGCAAUGUUAAUUGCUUUUUUUUUCACUAUUUAUUUGAGGUUAGAUAUAAAGCGAUUCAGAGCAACGAAUUUAUUUAUUAAUGCAUUAUUAUUAACUCUGUGCAUUAUUAUCUCAGUUAACGGGGCAUAAGUAAAGUGUACAGCUGAUACUAAACAUUGAAGUACUUGUCUAGAAUUGUGUAAUGACAAUUACUAUAAUCAAAGAUUAAAAUAUAUUUUCUCAUUAAUGUGUUUGUCUUUAAAAUGUUAAAUAUUCAGGUGUUAUAUCAUCAAAUGCCUUUCAUUGAAUUUUAGUUAUUUUUGUUGAAAUUAUAUCUCUACUUAUUAUUUUUUUUAAUUCAUUAUAUUUCUAAAUUGAAUGUUAUUGUAUGAAGUGUUACUUUUUUUAAAAAAAAAAAUAAUCAUGUUUAUAUUGCAUUUAAGUUGAUAACUUUUUGUAAUAAAUUCUGGUUUUAUCAUAUAAAAAUGUUCCAGCUUUUAAGUUUUUAAAGUUAAUGAAAUUUUUUCGCUGACAAGAAAAUAAGUGCUAUUUUUUCUAAUUUUCCAAUACUAUCGUGUCAUUCAUAAAUGUAUAUAUUUAUACUCUUAAAAAUAUUUCUUAAAUUAAUAUGCACAUGAACAAAAUGAACAUGUUCUAUAAAGUGUCACAUUAUGUAAAAUCAGUGCCGUAUCUGAGACUAUCUUCAAAAUUUUCACAUCAAAAAUUAGCAUCAUUUCUUGUAGUUUUAAAUAAUUGAAAUUAAUCCUCCCCCUCUCAUUUGUUUAAUUCUUUUUUUUUAAUGUAACUGAUUAAAGAAUAUGUUAGUAUGGGAAAAGGCAAGCUUUCAUAGUACAAAAGACACCAAUUACUUCCAGAAAAUGUUAUGAUUCAUUGCCUUAAAAAAAUCUUGAUUCUUAAAAGUGAAAUCAUUGUAGACUGGUUGUGUGAUAGGUUUGUCUUUACUAAAUAUAUAUGUACCACUAUGAUUUUAUUAUUAAUUGUUCAGUUAACUAGAAGUUACUAUUUAAUGUUUUUCAGCUGAAUUUAAAGAGCGUGUACAAUUUAAGUAACACACAUUAACACGAAUUAAUCUCCUUAGAAUAACAUGUGUUAAAAAAUAUGUGAGAGAACUUACUGUCCAAGUUUGGUUAGUCCAUGCAUAGAUACUAGCAGCUUCUAGUUAAAUUACAAUAAGGAUUUGUUUGUAUUGUUGUACUAAAAGAUCUAGCGUUGUUUGUAUUUCCCAGAAGCUGGAAUUUUCCCACACUUAUAUAUUUUUGUGUAAUAGGUAUCUUGUGUGCAGAUUUUGUUACAAAUUCGAGCAAUUAAGGUUUAAAAUAUUUUUAAUUAUGGUGCUAUGCUUAUAAAUUCUAGCCAAUAUAAAAGUUAUGAAGGAAAAAAAAAUUAAUAUUGCUGGAUUAUGUUUAUUCUUACAGAAAGCAACCCAGUUGAAAAGAUCGAGGAGUUCCCUUUUGCUUUUAGUUUUUCUAUCUUAUUUAAGAUAAAUUUUGGUAGUAUUUCAUGAUGGUUCAUUUAUCCUAGUUCUUGAUUUAAAAGUGCUUUAUGCUUAAAUUAUAAUUCAUACCUUGUUAACACAUAAAAACUAAGAACAUUAACAUCAGGCGUGACCAAUCCACGGUGCUUUUGAUGUUUACAAGUGGCACUUCAGUCAGUUACAAUAUUACAAAAAGCCAUUAUUCUUUAGUUUUUAUAUACUUUAUUUUGUUUCUUUUUCUAUAUCAGCCGUUCCAAAAUAAUAUUCUUCAGAACCUUAGGGUUUCUUGUAAAAAUGAAAGGAGUUUAGAGAGUUAAGACUUUUUUUUUUAAACCAGAAAGGAAUAUUAUUAAAUUUUUGGAAAGUUUAAUAAUAUUUAGAUUAACAUUAGGGGUAUUUCUCAUUGCACUUUUCAAUUCAAAAUGAAAUAACUUUAUUCGUUAAUUAAAUCAUAUGUUUUCCUAUUGACCAUUUUCAAUGUUUAUUACAAUUCUUUUAGUUUUCAUUUAAAAAAAUAUCUUAGUUCUGUUUAUUUUGUUUAUGUUCAGCAUAUAUACAUCAAAAGCAAAUUUAUAAAUAGAUUAGAUAAAACUUUGAGACUGUGAAUUUAAAUGCGGGACAUGAUAUUAAUGAAAGAUUAUUAAUAAUAAAACAAUAAAAAAAUUUCAUUUUCUUAAUAGGUAUUUUCAAAAUAAAGCCUUAUAUUAGUUAAUAUGUUCACAAUUGUGUUUAAUUUAUUCAGGUGGUGUUCCUUAGAAAGAAAGUUGAUCAUUUAUGGUCCCAUAGCCAAAAAUAAUAAAGAACUGCUGUUCUAGAUCAUUGCUUAACCAUAACUUUAUUGAUCAUGGACACUAUGUUAAAAUUUUGUUCAUAUAAAAUUUGUUAUAAAAUCUAAAAAGUUAUAAAAAUCUUAAUGAAAUAGAAUUUAAGUUUUAAGAUCUCAAGAUUUAGAAGUAACGAUAUAGUAAAAACUUCAUAAUUUGCUAAAAUGAAGUUAUGCAAGGGAAUGAUUCCAUUUUUUUAAAUCAAGUAUCAAUAAAAAAAAUAUAUUGGGAGAUGAAUAAGAGAAUAAGGUGAUAUAUAUUUAAAAAAAUCGGAAGUCUAGUGUUACAGCCUUCUUACAAGAGAGCUCUUUUUAGGUUAGGGAUUUUCAUAUAAAUAAGUCACUAAACAGUUGGAAUCGUUUCCUUUUCUGAGCUUUAAUUUGUAUUUUCCCCUACUUUUUUCUAUUGUGUUGAAUACAACAGGAACAUAUUAAAACUAAACUUAGAUUUAAUUAUUAGUUUAUAGUAUUUUGAUUUUUUCUGCUUUCACUAAUUAUUAAAUCUUGAGUUGUGCAAUUUAUGAAAAAUAUUAAGAAAUAGAAUAACGAGCUUGCAACUUAAUGAACAUCAAAAGAAGUAUAAAAUUUUCUUUUUUGUUGUUUGUAGAAAGUUAAAAAUUUUAUUGUUUUUGAAAGUUAUUAUUUAGAAGGGGCUUCAGAAUGAGUGAUUAAUUGAUGAGGAACUUAGUUUGGAAAUUGCAAAAAGUUUAAAAUAAAUUUAUUUCUUACAAAACAAAUUUAAUUUUCUUGACUUGCAAUGAAUAUUGUUUGCACUUUUUACAAACUUGUUUUUAUAUUUAACUUAUUCUUUUACUGUUUGUGUUAACAUUUAGUAUCUGAGACUGAAACUUAAUUAUUUCUUCUUUUAAAUUCAAUCAUUCCUCCUACCCCUUCUUAAUAUAUUAAUGUUCGUCAGUUUUUAAAUAUUUGUAUAAAUUAAAGAAAUUUUUUAAACAUUAUUAAUUAAGUUUUAGUACUAAGUUAUUCUUUUAUUGUUUGUGUUAACAUUUUACUUAUUGAACUUAAAACUUUAUUGGUUAUUUUUUAUAUUUACUAAUACCUAAUAUUAGUUCUUUAUGUUAACUAAAGGAAUAAGUUUUUUAUGAUAAUAAGUGAACAUGAGGAAACUAAUGUAGACUAUUUUUAUUAAUUUUUUUAUUUUGCUUUUAAAUUUAACUAUAUGAUAAGACUUUUUCGUACUACAGCAUUAUUAGAUGCAUCAUUAUUUUUUAAACACUUAAAAUCUGAAGAGAGGGGUGCUAUAGAUAAAUAAAAUUUGAAUUAGUUAAUAGCUUGAAAAAGGGAACAAGCAGUAAAAAAAAGAUAUAAUAAUAAUAAAUGAAAUAAAAAAAAUUUUCCUUUACACAUAAAGUUUCAACGAUUUAUUAUGAAGUUAUUAGACAACAAAAAUUUUACUUUUUAUGUCUUGAAACAAAAGCACUUAAAUUGAUUCCCUUCUUUCAAACUGUAGAUUCAAUUUUAUUCUUGCUUUAUCUUUUAAAAUAAGUAACGCAUUUAAUUCAUUAUGUUUUAUGGUAUUUCUUUUUUAUAAAAUUGUUUUAUAUAUAUUUUUAGAAAUAUAAUUAAUGCUCAAAUGCCACGAUGUUUUCAUGUAAUAUAUUUUAUCUGCCCAGCAAAACCCCUACUAUUUGUAAAAUGAAAUUACAAUAUACUUUAUGAUGAAAUACCUUUCAGCAAUUUUUAACAUUAACCAAAUUUUUAAAUAAUAGGCUUGGGCUUUUAUUGAAUCUUACGAAAUUGCAAUUACGUAAAAAUUACGAAUUACAAAAAAAUAAAUAUAAUUAUCCAAUUUUUUUUUAAUUGUGCCUAAGUAGCCAAAAAAAAAAAAAAAAAAAGAAUNAAAAAAAAAAAAAAAAAAGAAUGACUAUAUCUUGUUCUUAAAAAAUAGUGUAAAACUAUGCUUUAUCUAAACUUUUCUACUAAUGUCUGAAUAUAAAUCUUUAUGCUCACAAACUAAUAAAAGUACAUUAUUUUAUUGCAGUUCCAUUGAUUUUAAGUCUUUUUCUAUUUUCAUUAAUUUUCUAACAACUUGAUCUAAUUAGGAUAAAAACUUGAUACCCAAUUCUUUAGAUUCAUAUUCUAUUUACAAGACAAUUUAAAGCUAAUAAUUAUUUAGCCUUGUCUGUUAUAAAAAGUAAUAUUGAAUCUGCCAUCAUAAUUACAUACAUUAAAAGUUGCUUAACAUGCUUUAAACUUAAUUAAAAUUAGAAGUAAAACGAAAUGAUUGUUUAUUUCAAAUUCAUAGCCGAGUCUAUCAUUAUUCAAGGAAAUCUGUGCAUCUGCUCAAUGUUCUUUUGCUAAUUCUAGCAUGUAACUAGCUGAAAAAACCCUACAUGAUUUUGAUAAGAAUGUUAUUUUGGAAUGAAGAAAAAUUAUGAAAUCAUAUGCAGAGAUUUUAUUUUACUAAAUUUAACUUUGUAUAAAAAAUCUCAUUAAAACAUUCUUUGGUUUACACAUUUACAUCACAAAUUAUCAGUUAAAAAUUCUUAUUUUUCCCUUAUAGUUGGCAAUUUAAUAUUAUUUAAUUUUUUUUUAUUUUUUAUGAGUUGUCUGUUAAUAGCUUUCCGAUCUGCCAACUCUUAAAUUACUUCUGUGGAAUACUUUUUAACAAAAAUGUUUAAUUUUGCUUUAAGUGAGCAGAAGAACAAAAAACUUUGAGAAAAAGUUCAUUUUCAGAGUUUUCAAAUUUAAAUUUUUGAAAAAAAUAGUGCUUGUUUGUAGUUUUUAGGAAAAAAUACCACUUAGAGCUAAAACCUAUCGUGUUUUAGAAAUUUCCUUUUUCUAGUUAUCACGUUAAAAAUGUAUGUCUUUAUACUGGGAUUAUUAAUAAAAUAAUUAUAGUUAGUACAAAUUUCCUUUAACAUAAGAAAUAGACAAAAGACACUAUUACUGUGAAUAUGUUAAGUAUGAUGGGUAAAAUCGAUUACAGUAAUUUAUAAUAUUUUUUUAACAUAAAAUGGUAAAGUAAAGGGAGAAUACAUCAACAAUUGUAAUAAAAAAAAAAUAUGCUUCCAUUCGAAUCAAUUAUUUUAUAAUGUAAUAAAUUUUUUUUUUCGAGGGAGAGAAAGGACUUACUUAAGGAACGAACUGAAUAUUCUCCAUCUUGUAUUUUUGCUGUGACGCCCGGUGGCUGAGUGGUGGCGCUUUGCUCUCGUUUGCCACAGGUCCUGGAUUGACUCAGUCUUUCAUCCCUUCAGUGGGUCGAUAAAUGAGUUCCAAGCAUGCUUGGGAACUAAACACUGGGGAUCCGCGUUCGGCUGACCACCUGACCGGAACAUCUGCUCCUGCACCCCAGAGCCCAAGGUCAAGAAAACAGAUGGGCACAGUAGGCCUUGGCCCUAUAUAGCCUGUCGUGCCUCUGAGUUUACUUUAGUUUUUUGUAUUUUUACUGUAAAUCUUAAAUGUUGAUUUCUGGGUGGUUUUUAUUUCAUUUAUAAAGCAUGAAACUUUUUUUUGACUUACUAAUAACUAAUUUAAAUUUAAGAUUCUGAAUUUUUUAACUGGAGUUUAAAACGUUAUUUUAUUUCCUUUCAUAAUUUUCAAACAUUCUUUUACUUAAAUCAUUCAUUACAAUACUUUUAAACACCAUUCGAAUUUUUAUUUUGCAAAAUUUUAGUUUUAAGGUUUAUUUUUCCUGCUCACUACUUAAAAUUUGUUUGAGGUUUUUAUGAUACAUCAAAUUUUAUGUAGUUUGCUUCAAAAAUAAAAUAAAAUUACACAUAUGUGUAAAUUUGAACGGCGCUCAUUGACUUAGCAUUAGCAGCAAAAAACAGAUAAAUAAUAUGCAAUUUACUGUUAAACAUUUUUAUAAAGAUAUAUUUUUUGUAGGACUUCAAUGGCAACAGUUUUUUUAAGCCUAAGCAUGAAAAAAAAUACUUUCAGAUCAUUAUCGGUAUAAAAUUCUGCCUACAGUAAUUACUGUUGUUUAAAUUAAGAUCUCACAGUUUCUUAAUUUUUUUUUAUAUAAACCUAAAAUUGAUUUUUUUAAUGAUCUGGAAAAAAUUACUUAUUAAAAAAUAAAUGUGUACUGUUCAAGAAAUCAUUGUAUAAUAUGAAGUUUUUAUUUUUUUUAUCCUGAUACAACUAAUUUGGUUUUUGUUAAAAAUGCUGGGACCUUGUGUAAAAAAUUAUAAUAAUUGAAAAUUUUGUGUAUCAAUGAUGUAUGCAAUAACAAGAGAUUUAAUCAGAAAUUAUCAAAUUAAGCAAUUUUUUCUGUAAGUCAUAUAAUGUUCAUGGUUUUUUUAAUAAAAUUUUUGUACAUAUGUUA